rnacentral:rRNA from 1 species
UACAGAGGUCUCAAGCGUUGUUCGGAUUCAUUGGGCGUAAAGGGUGCGUAGGCGGCGCGGUAAGUCGGGUGUGAAUCUCGGAGCUUAACUCCGAAACUGCAUUCGAUACUAACCGGUGCUUGAGGACUGGAGAGGAGACUGGAAUUUACGGUGUAGCGGUGAAAUGCGUAGAUAGUCGUAAGGAACCACUAGUGGCGAAAGCGGCUUCCUGGUCCGAGCACCGACGUUCAGGCACG